rnacentral:rRNA from 1 species
UACGGAGGAUCCGAGCGUUAUCCGGAUUUAUUGGGUUUAAAGGGUGCGCAGGCGGGAGAUUAAGUCGGCGGUGAAAUUUUGCAGCUCAACUGUAAAAGUGCCUUCGAAACUGGUUUCCUUGAGUGUAGAUGAAGUAGGCGGAAUUUGUGGUGUAGCGGUGAAAUGCAUAGAUAUCACGAGGAACUCCGAUUGCGCAGGCAGCUUACUAAACUAUAACUGACGCUCAGGCACGAAGGCGUGGGGAUCAAACAGGAUUAGAUACCCGGGUAGUCCCU